UAAGGCUCAAAGCCGAGAGGAUAGCAACGAUGCGAGCCGGGGAACCACACGUGUUCCUGGGGUGAAUUUCCCACAAGGGCCGGAUGUGUAUAUGCACAGAUGGAAAGAGUGGAGAUAGGGGCCUUCCGCUCCGAACCCGACAGCUAACUCGGUAGGCAAACAGGAAGAUUUG
rnacentral:sRNA from 2 species